GAAAUGCGAUAAGUAGUGUGAAUUGCAGAAUUCAGUGAAUCAUCGAAUCUUUGAACGCACAUUGCGCCCCUUGGUAUUCCAUGGGGCAUGCCUGUUCGAGCGUCAUUUGUACCCUCAAGCUUUGCUUGGUGUUGGGUGUUUGUCCUCUCUGGAGGACUCGCCUUAAAACAAUUGGCAGCCGGCAUAUUGGUAUCGGAGCGCAGCACAAGUCGCGCUUCUUUCCAUGAAUGUCAGCAUCCAUCAAGACUAUUUUCACUCUUGACCUCGGAUCAGGUAGGGAUACCCGCUGAACUUAA
rnacentral:misc_RNA from 1 species